rnacentral:rRNA from 1 species
UUGGUCCUACGGGAGGCAGCAGUGGGGAAUAUUGCACAAUGGGGGAAACCCUGAUGCAGCGACGCCGCGUGGGUGAAGAAGUACUUCGGUACGUAAAGCCCUAUCAGCAGGGAAGAAAAUGACGGUACCUGAUUAAGAAGCCCCGGCUAACUACGUGCCAGCAGCCGCGGUAAUACGUAGGGGGCAAGCGUUAUCCGGAUUUACUGGGUGUAAAGGGGGCGCAGACGGCGAUGCAAGCCAGGAGUGAAAGCCCGGGGCCCAACCCCGGGACUGCUCUUGGAACUGCGUGGCUAGAGUGCAGGCGG